AGUUUUGUGCAGUGGCAGUAUUGUAGCCAAUGAGGUUAAUCUGAGGUGCAAUUAUUGCUAUUGGAAAACUUUUCCCAAUACCCCGCUAUGAGGACUUGAAAUAUAGUCAGCAUUAUCAAUUUUUGACAGUGUCUAUGGAGA
ensembl:snRNA U4 U4 spliceosomal RNA